rnacentral:rRNA from 1 species
GGUGACUAAKGCCUAGGAAAUUGCCUUGAUGUGGGGGAUAACCAUUGGAAACGAUGGCUMAUACCUGCAUAAUGCCUACGGUGCCAAAGAGGGGGACCUUCAGGCCUCUCUUGUCAAGAUAUGCCUAGGUGGGAUUAGCUAGUUGGUGAGGUAAUGCGCUCACCAAGGCGACUAUCCCUACCUGGUCUGAGAGGAUGAUCAGCCUCGCUGGAACUGACACACUGUCCAGACUCAUACGGGAGGCACCAGUGGGGAAUAUUGCACAUUGGGCGAAAGCCUGAUGCAUCCAUGCCGCGUGUAUGAAGAAGGCCUUCCGGUUGUAAAGUACUUUCAGUUGUGAAGAAGGGGGUAGCGUUAAUASCACUAUCUCUUGACGUUCGCAACAGAA